rnacentral:rRNA from 1 species
UUUGAUUCUGGCUCAGAUUGAACGCUGGCGGGAUGUACUUUACACAUGCAAGUCGAACGGCAGCACAGCUUCGGUCUGGUGGCGAGUGGCGAACAGGUGAGUAAUGUAUCGGAACGUGCCUAGUGGCGGGGGAUAGCCGCGUGGCUAAUGCCGCAUGCGCCCUUCGGGGAAAGCGGGGACCUUCGGGCCUCGCACUAAUAGAGCAGCCGAUAUCGGAUUGCGCUAGUUGGUGGGGUAACGGCUCACCAAGGCGACGAUCCGUAGCUGGUUUGAGAGGACGACCAGCCACACUGGGACUGAGACACGGCCCAGACUCCUACAGGAGGCUUAACAGUGGGGAAUUUUGGACAAUGGAAACCUGAUCAGCCAUCCCCGCGUGUUGUGUGCGAUGAAAGGCCUUCAGGUUGUAAAGCACUUUUGGCGGGAAAACAACCUGGGAGAUACUUCAUUAAUGACAGUACCAACAGAAUAAGCACCGGCUAACUACGUGCCAGCAACCGCGGUAAUACGUAGGAGUGCAAGCGUUAAAUCGGAAUUACUGGGCGUAAAGCGUGCGCAGGCGGUUCGGAGAAGAAGAUGUGAAAUCCCAGAGCUUAACUUUGGAACUGCAUUUUUAACUACCGAGCUAGAGUGUGUCAGAGGGAGGUAGAUUCCGCGUGUAGCAGUGAAAUGCGUAGAUAUGCGGAGGAACACCGAUAGCGAGACAGCCUCCUGGGAUAACAUGACGCUCAUGCGAAAGCGUAGAGCAAACGGGAUUAGAUACCCUGGUAGUCCACGCCUACAAGCGAUGUCAACUAGCUGUUGGGGCCUUCGGGCCUUGGUGGCUGGCUAACGUAGAAGUUGACCGCCUGGGGAGUACGGUCGCAAGAUUAAAACUCAAGGAAUUGACGGGGAUUCCGCACUGGCAGACUCGGAUGAUGUGGAUUAAUUCGAUGCAACGCGAAAAGCCGCCUACCCUUGACAUGUCUGGAAUCCCAGAAAAGAGAUUUGGGAGUGCUCAGAACCGGAACAGUGCUGCAUGGCUGUCGUCAGCUCGUGUCGUGAGAUGUUGGGUUAAGUCCCGCAACGAGCGCAGCCCUUGUCAUUAGUUGCUACGAAAGGGCACUCUAUUGAGGACUGCCAUUGACAAACCGGAAGAUUAAGGAUGACGUCAAGUCCUCAUGGCCCUUAUGGGUAGGGCUUCAUUAAAGCGCAAUGGUCAGGACAGAGGGUCGCCAACCCGCGAGGGGAGGUAAUCCAGAAACCGAUGUCGGAUCGCAGUCUGCAACUCGACUGCGUGAAGUCGGAAUCGCUAGUAAUCGCGGAUCAGCAUAUUCGCGGUGAAUACGUUCACGGGUCUUGUACACACCGCCCGUCACACCAUGGGAGUGGGUUUUACCAGAAGUAGUUAGCCUAACCGUAAGGAGGGCGAUUACCACGAUAUGAUUCAUGACUGGGGUGAAGUCGUAACAAGGUAG